rnacentral:rRNA from 1 species
UACGAAGGGGGCGAGCGUUCUUCGGAAUCACUGGGCUUAAAGCGUGUGUAGGCGGAUCGUUAAGUCGGGGGUGAAAUCCCAGAGCUCAACUGUGGAAUUGCCCUCGAUACUCGCGUGCUGGAGCAGAGAAGAGGUGAGUGGAACUUCGGGUGUAGAGGUGAAAUUCGUAGAUAUCCUGAGGAACACCGGUGGCGAAAGCGGCUCGCUGGUUUUUUUCUGACGCUGAGACGCGAAAGCUUGGGUAGCAAACAGG